CCAGCUUCCAGCCCCCGCUUGGGCAGGGGGCAUCUUGUGCUGCCAUCAUGAUAUGUAAAUUUACAGGGCCGACGCUGGCCAGAACCCCUAAAGAAGUCCCGACAAAGCUGCCGCCUAGCCAGCUUCCUUUUCAGACACACCCUCCGUGCAAUGCAACUACACACUCCAUGCACUGCAGACACCCUCCGUGCAAUGCACACACACUCCGUGCAAUGCACACACACACACACACACUCCGUGCAAUGCAACCACACCUUCCAUGCAAUGCAACAACACCCUCCGUGCAAUGCAACUACACCCUCCGUGCAAUGCAAAUGCAAUCUCUCACGCAAUGCAAUGCAAUGCAAUGCAAUUGCAGCCCAUGCAGCGCCGUGCCCUGCAACGCACAGAGCAAACUGCAAUGCGGGCACGCAAAGGUGCUUUCUCCCACUUGCAUAUUGCAAACGUGGCGCCCGUUACAUCCGUCGCAGUGAGGGAACCACCAAAAGGCCCUCGACACUGGACCUAAGUGUCCAGGUAGAGCAAUGGGGGGCAUGUAGCUGUCCCAUACAGGGACCAAUCCUGCAACCUAGGCAUUACUGGCACUAUGUGCUGAGCAGCUGAGCUAUCCAGGAUGAUCCCUAAAGACCCAGGACAGCCUCACCCUAACCCCUGGAGAGGUCCAAGGUGAUGUCUGAAUUAUCAUCCCUGCUCCUCUUUGCCCUCCUCCUGGAAUGCCGCCUCCGAAGACGCUUCCUUCUGGAAGAAGGCACCUGGGGCGUCCGCAAGUCAUCCUCUGCAGGAGAGGCAAGCUCUUGAGGCAUCUGCAAAAGCUCUGUCAUAGUCUGCAAAAACUAAACAAUGUAAGGAACCAGUGAAACCAAUGCUUCAUGCACCACAUGGGGACACUAUUCAGGCCGGAAACGCUUCCAGGCCAUCGAAUUCUAGGGCAAAGCCCUAGGAUCACCUGCUAGGCCAGGCAUAAAUGUUUCCAGUGAAAUAGCAGAGUUGAGGUAGCCCACAGCUUGUCCAGGUACCCCUGCUUGCCCUUUUAGAGGGAAGCACCCCUUCAAGAAACCCAAAGUUCUUUUAUCACAAAUGGGCCCAACUACCCAGCAACAGAAUAGCCGAAAAGGAGCAGUUUGUUUUGUUUUGUUAUAACAAUGGCUAAGAGGGGGAUAUGAACCCUGUCUCCCAGGACCCAGCCCUGCACUCUAGCCACUAAGCCACAAUGGCUCAUCUCUAAAAUGGCAGUCGCCAAUAUCAGGGCAAAACAAACUUAAAGAAAAUAAACUUGUUCAGAAACAGCAUAGUUCCAGAGCAUAUACAGAGUGCUCCUAGUCAUUGGAGGCACAGAGACCCUGGCUCCACUCUGUCUGCCCCAAAUAUACAAUAGCAACUGAGCCUGCAAGCAAAAGAUACAUUCUUAGAGAGGGAAUGAGUCACAUGUUUCCUGCUAACUGCAGCAGGCCUAGGCUUAAAUGCAGACCUCACUGCUUCUGCUCUUAAGAAUCUUUGAUUCAUUGCAAUAUUAAAGGAAGCUCAAAAUGGUGCUCCUGCCCAAGGCUAGAUCAAAAUUCGGCCAACAGCGCUGCACACACCCAAAAUAAAGCCACCUUUGGGGAUACUAUAAACGAAAGUGAUUCCAGCUAAGCUGGGAACAGCCUGACCAGCCCCACAAUUAACAAACAGGCAAAAUGAGGGAAACCUUUCUGCAAAAGAAAGCCCCUAAUGGGGACUCUCUCCCCAUUGGGAAAGGCAAGCCAAGGAGGAUUAUGCACAGGCAGCUCUCACAGGUACAGGGAGAAUCUUCUCAAAGGGCAGGGUAAGGGGUGGGGUGGGAAAUCAAAGAGGAAAAGAAAAGGGGUGGAAUUAAAUUAAUUAAGGGACUAGAGAGGAUUAAAAAGAAGGGGGGAAGUAAAGAAAUAUAACCAGAGAAUGAGAAGAUCACUUCACGGUCCAGGUGCUUCUGGUGAUCCGAAGCACGCAGCGAAAGAGGACGUCCUUGCUGCGUGCCUUGUAUUUAACAAAUAGGGCUGUCAAUCACUAAAUGGCAACAUGUAAUUUCCCCCAGUAACAGCCCACCCCUGCUUACGAGUUGGCCAAACCAUCUGCCCAGAAACAGCAAGGUGUCUUGGAAUCCCCAACCGCAACACGUGCUCUCCGUGAUGGAGAACACGCUUUCCCUGACAAGGGCCUUCAGAUCCCUAAGCAUGCAAUGACUCAAGCUCUCAUGCUAAUUUUGUCCUGCCAAUAUUACAUGGGGGACAGAUCAGCAGUCAGCAUUGGGCAAGAAAUGGCACUGCAAGGCCAUUUGGGUGGGUAGGUGGAAACUUUGCUUCAUUAAUCCGUUCUAGCUUCAUUUGUGAACUGUCUGGAGAGGACUUCUUGCCCUGAAGUCUGCAUAACAAUAUGUAAAUAAUGGACCAAAAUUUGUUAAAGGGCUAAAAUAGUAGUGUUUGGACAGUGUGGUGGUCAAUAUGGGAUGGACCCCAAGUACCAUAGGAACCCCUAUCAAUGGCAGGCACCAUAGACGUGCCCAAAACACUCCUUCCUCCCAUUUCUCAACUGCUCCAAAGUAGUGUUUGCAUGGUGCAUGCACACUAAGCACAGCAAAUAUGUACAUGUAGAUAAAUAAACAGCCAUUAUGCUGGUACAUGUAAAAAUAUAAGCAAAUAAAAUAAUGCAUGGCAUGGAGAAAAUAGAGAAAAGAUUUUCUCUCCCUCUUAUAGCACUGGAACUUGUGGACAUCUAGUGAACCUGAACAUUGAAGAAUUCAGGAUAGACAAAAGAAUCUACUUAUUCCCACAUUGCAUUCCAUUCUGUUGGAGGCAGAUGUGGCCACCAGCUUGGAUGGCUAUCAAAAGGGAUUAGGCAAAUUCACUGAGGCUAUCAAUGGUCACUAAGCUCUUCCUCCAUGGUUUGGAGGCAGUAUGCUUUUGAAUAUCAGUUGCUGGAAACUGCAGGGUGGGGAAAUGCAGUUGCAUUCAGGGUCUGCUUGCAAACUUCCCAAAGGCAUCUGGUUGGCCACUGUGAAAAAAUAUGGUAGACUAGGUGGGCCAUUGGCCUGUCCCAGUAGGCCCUUCUUAUGCUCUUAUUGAACACACAAGGACACAGACAGGACAAAUGCUGUAUUCUAAUUGCUAAUGUGGGAAAUGAAAUAAUAGAUUAGUCACACAAUAAAGGCCUUAAUUGCUUGCCAAAGCAUUUAGGGGACAUUACAUCGAUUUCUAACUGCUGCCAGAGAAAUAAACUCCUGUAUCAUUAGAUAACAAGAAAAGAAAUGGGAUAUUUCCUUUUUGAAAGCAUCCAAUUGCCUGAUGUAUUUGCUCAGUAGAUUAUUUUCUGUCAUCUCAGUUAAUUGAAUUUUAUCCAUUGCUCUUAGAAUUCUUCCCUUUCAUAGAAGGUUAAAAAGUUCAGAGGAGUCACAUUUUUCAACUUUGUCAAUUUAUCGUAUAAACCAACUUGAGCUGCACAAAGUGUGCUGGGUGGUGGAGAGAUGGAGUAACAAAAACUAUGAAAUAAUUGCUUUUUAGUGUCUUGGUGAAUCAGUGUUCAAAUAAUUGUUUGUAAACCAUCGCUCUGUAAAAUGGCACCCAACUGAGAUACUGUAACAAGUACAUAAAAGACUUUUCAUGGAUAUGGCUCCAUCAAUACAUUUUUGCUGGGAAGUUCCAUAAAGAUUCCUGAUGUUCCAUCACUUUCAUUUUUAUUUGUGGGGGGGGGGGGGGGGGUUUGAAACCCAACAUUAUGUUGAAAUUUCACUAUAAGUUGAUUUACAAUAGAAUAUUUACCUUGCCAUGAAACACAGCCUUGGUGGAACUAUUUUACAACGUGUGAACUACCACCAUGCAGUUUUUUUUAAAGUCUUUUUAAAAACACACACACACACAAACAAACAAACACACAAAUAAACACAAAUUGUACAGCUGUAGUGCAAUUAUAUUUUUAAAAUGUACUCUUAAAACUUUAACCUGAUGAAUAUUUUCUGGGGAAAAUUUAACUAACACAACAAACUCUUUUUCUCCCAAAAUAAUCCCACCAUUAAAAAAAGGGGGGGGUGUUUUGGAUUUCAAUCUUGGGUCCAAUAAAUGCCCAAUGGAUGUAUGAAUCAUAUUUCCCCCCCAACACCAUGGCACAGCUGACAUUGACACUGAAAUAACAGUGUGUCAGCUAGUCAAUAAAAAGUCAAAGAAGACUGACAGAUUAGUGGUUCUUAUCUCUCUGAAUCAGCUCAUAGUGUAGACUGGACUGAAGGUCAACAUCUAGUGACUCUUCUGCAGUAAACAAGUGUCUAGAGACUAUGGAUUUUCUGCUAUGUAAGCUGCAGUGUCCCUCAUUGUUGGGUAAUACAGCACCAAUUUCAAAACUGUCAAUGUGUAUUAUGGAAAAAAAACCUCCCAUGUACAAAGCCCUACAUUUGUUGACAUCUCUCCUCCUCAACUUUAGGUGGGGCUCACUCCUAACCACUGUGUUCUUUCACUCUGCCACCAACCAGCUUUCUCAGCAUGACUAGCGAGCUUAAUGGAGAGGAUCAAAAAGUUUGAGCAGUCCAGAUGCCAAUUCUCCAACCAUGGAUGGAUGCUUCAGAUGGAAAGGAGCCUAUCAUUCUCUGGGACAGAGUACGUGGCCCUGGCAGUGGAGUAGAGCCCCCAGCUACAAGCAUAUGGAGUGGCACUCUAACGAAGCACUACUGAAUUGGUAAAGUCCGCAUUUCGGAUUGGGGGUGAGGGAGAAGCAAAAUCAAUCAAGUCCUCUCUUGUAUAUUAUCACGACUAGUGCUUCCCCCCCCCCAAGAAAAAUAGGUUCCAGAACUCACCAUGAAGUUGUUACAGCAAGUCACCGCACAAAAAGGGGAAGACCUGAACAGAUGCCGGUUUAACAACAGCUGCGUUCACUGCCCACGGAAGUGCUAAAAACUAUGGCAAGCUGUCUCCCCAGCUGCUUUAGGGUUGCCCCUAGUUCUGGUGCAGGUCAAAUAAAUGCGCCCCCGCCUCCCUCCCUCUCCUUGAUUCAGGCAGAUGGCUAGGGCCCUUGCGCAAACGUGUGCAGGGCUGGAAACAUAAAGCCUGCUUCCACUACACAGAAGACAGAUAGAAGAAAAGGAAAUAGGAAUUGGCUCUGCCCUGUAGAUCAGGGGUAGGCAACCUAAGGCCCAGGAGCCGGAUGCGGCCCAAUCGCCUUCUGAAUCCGACCUGCGGAUGGUCAGCAUGUUUUUACAUGAGUAGAAUGUGUGCUUUUAUUUAAAAUGCAUCUCUGGGUUAUUUGUGGGGCAUAGGAAUUUGUUCAUUUCCCCACCCCCAGAAUAUAGUCCGGCCCCCCACAUGGUCUGAAGGAUGGUGGACUGGCCCACGGCUGAAAAAGGUUGCUGAUCCCUGCUGUAGAUUGACCAAGGGUGGCUAGGAGUAGGUGGAGUCAUAGGUCUAAAAAAAGUGUAGACACACACGCUGACCAGCUUCCAUUUUGGAUUUGAGGAGUUUGGAUUUGAUAUCCUGCUUUACCACUCCCCUUCAGGAGUCUCAAAGCGGCUAACAUUCUCCUUUCCCUUCCUCCCCGACAACAAACCCUCUGUGAGGUGAGUGGGGCUGAGAGACUUCAAAGAAGUAUGACUGGCCCAAGGUCACCCAGCAGCUGCAGGUGGAGGAGCGGAGACGCAGGAGGAGGAGUGCCAGCCCGCAAUGGGGCCUACCUGAGAGGAGCUGGAAAUGUGCUCUGGCUGAAAAAAGCAAUGAUCAUAGUUAACUUUCAAAACAGGAAAUAAG
rnacentral:lncRNA from 1 species